GCGACCAGGGGGAGACAACAAGGGUGAAACCCUAGUUCAAGUCUAAACCCCAAAAUUGAAGCUCAAAUCAAACCCAAAUUGUCUGCAUGAGUACAAAUUCGUGGUCACCUGGUCGAGGGGGAUCUCAAGUUUGACGCUUGGCAAGCUAGGUGGAAGCUUGGGAAGGAAGCGGGUCAAACUAAUCGGGAGUGAAGGAAAAUGCAUAGACAGGAUGCAAGGUACACUUUGGAUGCCGGAAGACGAUCAAGCUCAUCGAAGAAC